rnacentral:rRNA from 1 species
UUAAGCGACUAAGCGUACACGGUGGAUGCCUAGGCAGUCAGAGGCGAUGAAGGGCGUGCUAAUCUGCGAAAAGCGUCGGUAAGCUGAUAUGAAGCGUUACAACCGACGAUACCCGAAUGGGGAAACCCAGUGCAAUUCGUUGCACUAUUGCAUGGUGAAUACAUAGCCAUGCAAGGCGAACCGGGGGAACUGAAACAUCUAAGUACCCCGAGGAAAAGAAAUCAACCGAGAUUCCCCCAGUAGCGGCGAGCGAAAGGGGAGGAGCCCAGAGUCUGAAUCAGUUUGUGUGUUAGUGGAAGCGUCUGGAAAGUCGCACGGUACAGGGUGAUAGUCCCGUACACAAAAAUACACUUGCUGUGACCUCGAUGAGUAGGGCGGGACACGUGACAUCCUGUCUGAAUAUGGGGGGACCAUCCUCCAAGGCUAAAUACUCCUGACUGACCGAUAGUGAACCAGUACCGUGAGGGAAAGGCGAAAAGAACCCCGGCGAGGGGAGUGAAAUAGAACCUGAAACCGUGUACGUACAAGCAGUGGGAGCACCUUCGUGGUGUGACUGCGUACCUUUUGUAUAAUGGGUCAGCGACUUAUAUUUUGUAGCAAGGUUAACCGAAUAGGGGAGCCGUAGGGAAACCGAGUCUUAACUGGGCGUCUAGUUGCAAGGUAUAGACCCGAAACCCGGUGAUCUAGCCAUGGGCAGGUUGAAGGUUGGGUAACACUAACUGGAGGACCGAACCGACUAAUGUUGAAAAAUUAGCGGAUGACUUGUGGCUGGGGGUGAAAGGCCAAUCAAACCGGGAGAUAGCUGGUUCUCCCCGAAAGCUAUUUAGGUAGCGCCUCGUGAACUCAUCUUCGGGGGUAGAGCACUGUUUCGGCUAGGGGGUCAUCCCGACUUACCAAACCGAUGCAAACUCCGAAUACCGAAGAAUGUUAUCACGGGAGACACACGGCGGGUGCUAACGUCCGUCGUGAAGAGGGAAACAACCCAGACCGCCAGCUAAGGUCCCAAAGUCAUGGUUAAGUGGGAAACGAUGUGGGAAGGCAUAGACAGCCAGGAUGUUGGCUUAGAAGCAGCCAUCAUUUAAAGAAAGCGUAAUAGCUCACUGGUCGAGUCGGCCUGCGCGGAAGAUGUAACGGGGCUAAACCAUGCACCGAAGCUGCGGCAGCGACACUUAGGUGUUGUUGGGUAGGGGAGCGUUCUGUAAGCCGUUGAAGGUGGACUGUGAGGUCUGCUGGAGGUAUCAGAAGUGCGAAUGCUGACAUAAGUAACGAUAAUGCGGGUGAAAAGCCCGCACGCCGGAAGACCAAGGGUUCCUGUCCAACGUUAAUCGGGGCAGGGUGAGUCGACCCCUAAGGCGAGGCUGAAAAGCGUAGUCGAUGGAAAACAGGUUAAUAUUCCUGUACUCGGUGUUACUGCGAAGGGGGGACGGAGAAGGCUAGGCUAGCCGGGCGACGGGUGUCCCGGUUUAAGCAUGUAGGCGGAGUGACCUGGUAAAUCCGGUUGCUUAUCAACGCUGAGGUGUGAUGACGAUGCACUACGGUGCAGAAGUAGUUGAUGCCAAGCUUCCAGGAAAAGCCUCUAAGCAUCAGGUAACAUUGAAUCGUACCCCAAACCGACACAGGUGGUCAGGUAGAGAAUACUCAGGCGCUUGAGAGAACUCGGGUGAAGGAACUAGGCAAAAUGGUGCCGUAACUUCGGGAGAAGGCACGCUGGCAUUAGGUAAAGAGACUUGCUCUCGUAGCCGAAGCCAGUCGCAGAUACCAGCUGGCUGCAACUGUUUAAUAAAAACACAGCACUGUGCAAACACGAAAGUGGACGUAUACGGUGUGACGCCUGCCCGGUGCUGGAAGGUUAAUUGAUGGGGUCAGCCGCAAGGCGAAGCUCUUGAUCGAAGCCCCAGUAAACGGCGGCCGUAACUAUAACGGUCCUAAGGUAGCGAAAUUCCUUGUCGGGUAAGUUCCGACCUGCACGAAUGGCGUAAUGAUGGCCAGGCUGUCUCCACCCGAGACUCAGUGAAAUUGAACUCGCUGUGAAGAUGCAGUGUACCCGCGGCAAGACGGAAAGACCCCGUGAACCUUUACUAUAGCUUGACACUGAACAUUGAGCCUUGAUGUGUAGGAUAGGUGGGAGGCAUCGAAGCGUGGACGCCAGUCUGCGUGGAGCCAACCUUGAAAUACCACCCUUUAAUGUUUGAUGUUCUAACUCGGCCCCGUAAUCCGGGGUGAGGACAGUGUCUGGUGGGUAGUUUGACUGGGGCGGUCUCCUCCCAAAGAGUAACGGAGGAGCACGAAGGUUAGCUAAUCACGGUCGGACAUCGUGAGGUUAGUGCAAAGGCAUAAGCUAGCUUGACUGCGAGAGUGACGGCUCGAGCAGGUACGAAAGUAGGUCUUAGUGAUCCGGUGGUUCUGAAUGGAAGGGCCAUCGCUCAACGGAUAAAAGGUACUCCGGGGAUAACAGGCUGAUACCGCCCAAGAGUUCAUAUCGACGGCGGUGUUUGGCACCUCGAUGUCGGCUCAUCACAUCCUGGGGCUGAAGUAGGUCCCAAGGGUAUGGCUGUUCGCCAUUUAAAGUGGUACGCGAGCUGGGUUUAGAACGUCGUGAGACAGUUCGGUCCCUAUCUGCCGUGGGCGUUGGAAGAUUGAGAGGGGCUGCUCCUAGUACGAGAGGACCGGAGUGGACGAAUCACUGGUGUUCGGGUUGUCAUGCCAAUGGCAUUGCCCGGUAGCUAAAUUCGGAAGAGAUAACCGCUGAAAGCAUCUAAGCGGGAAACUUGCCUCGAGAUGAGUCUUCCCUGGGGCUUUAAGCCCCCUGAAGGAACGUUAAAGACUAUGACGUUGAUAGGCUGGGGGUGUAAGUGCAGCGAUGCAUUGAGCUAACCAGUACUAAUGAUCCGUGAGGCUUAACCUU